UCAGUAGCAGAUGAAGGCCCAGGAU
rnacentral:misc_RNA from 1 species